rnacentral:rRNA from 1 species
UACGAAGGGGGCUAGCGUUGCUCGGAUUGACUGGGCGUAAAGGGCGCGUAGGCGGUUCGUACAGUCAGACGUGAAAUUCCUGGGCUCAACCUGGGGGCUGCGUUUGAUACGUGCGGACUUGAGUGCGGAAGAGGGUCGUGGAAUUCCCAGUGUAGAGGUGAAAUUCGUAGAUAUUCGGAAGAACACCAGUGGCGAAGGCGAACUCACUGGCCCGUUACUGACGCUGAGGCGCGAAAGCGUGGGGAGCAAACAGG